GGGGCGCGGCUUUGUGGCGGCCGCGGACCUGGAGGCCGGGUACAGCCCCGUCGGCUCCGCGCUUUUGCAGAAAAGGAUUUUACGCCCCCUGCCCAUCACUUGGAUCUUGUCUGGGGAGGGGCGAGUUUUUUUGCUGGAAAUGCCCCCCGCCGUGCUCCGCAGCCGCGAAGGAUUCGAGGCUGGGCUGCGAUCCAGGCGGAGGCUGCAGGGCCCGUGGGGCGCACCCCGCCCCGCGCACGCCUGCCGGAGUCCUGGCAGGCGCAGCCCCGGGGGGCUCCCCGCACCCGCGGGAGGCGGCGGCGUAUUCCUCGGGGUCCCUGGGCCAGGAAGACGGCGGCUCUGAGCUCCUUCAGCAACAGGCAGAGGAGGACAAGGGGUCCCUGAGCAUUCCUCUCCUGGUCCUUCUGUUCCCCUGGCAAAUCUGUCCUCACUGUGCUCAGCCUGGCACCCCGAAAUUAAAGGAUGCCAUCUACAAACACGUACGCUGGUUACUAAACUUGCCUUUUGCCCUCCAGGGGCACAACCCUGGAGCUCAGGCCUGGGAAAAAGGCUGGCUGGAGCCACAUCAGCAUUUGCUCCUGGGGGUACAGGGGAGGUGGGGAAGCGGAGAGGAAACCAGUGAUACCUGUUUGGUGAGGCCUGGUCCUUCCAGCUGGGCCUCUGGGAUCUUCACCUUGGCAGGAGGCCCUUGGCAAUCAUGGUCCACCUGCCAGCUCCUGAGACAGGACAUGUCCACUUCUGCCUCGGUUUCCUCAUCUGCCAAGGGAGGGUCAACACUCCCUGCUCUAACUUCAAAGUGUUCUUCGAUGUACCCUGUGUUAUAAUGGGUUCAAAUGAUGUACAACUCAGAAGGUGCUUUGCACGUGAUAAUGCGUUAAUUAAUAUGAUAUUUACUUACACACAGAGGCAACUGAGACAAGAGGGGAAACCACAGUCCAGCAGGAUGCCUGGGUUUCUGGAGGCAGCCAUGCUUAUGAUCCAGCCCACCGUCUGUGAAUUGCUGUGUGACCCCAGGGUAUGACUCAACCUCUCUGGGCCUCCAGUGCCUCAUGCAUGACACCCACAGUUUGGACUAGAAGGUUCCCAAGUCUCUUAUUAUCAUCUGUUCUAUGACUUUAAAGGGUUCCUGGUUGAAGAUAAAAAUUACUUAAAUAAGUAUUUCUUUCCAUGGCUAAUUUCUAUUUAUGACAAUAUGUUGGUUUUCCAUUUAGGGUGGGGGUAGGACUCCUUUUUUCUCUAAAUCAAUUUAUGUAGGUAAAAAAGAAUCCAAGGGCCAGGGAUUUAGCUCAGUGGCAUAAGUGCCUGCCUUGCAAGCCUGUGAUUAAAAAAAAAAGAGUUCAUUUCUUGAAAGAGAAAUACAAAGCAAAUUUAGUACAGAUGGCCUAUGCAUGGGACAGAAAUCAACACCACAGUUUGUAACAUUUCAUAGCACUCUUUAAAAAAGAGUUCAUGGUCCUCUUAAGGGUUUUCUGUGUCUCCUAGUUGAUGGUGAGGGAAAUAAGCUGCCAAUUAAACCCACGCAGGGCUCUGCUGUGUUAAACCUGUUUUCCAUGGGGUGCUGUACCUGGGUCCCAACACCAGAGGCCCCCCUAAUCCUACCCCCUCCGAGAUCCGAUUUAUCUCCAUUCUAGGAUCACUGCCCCGUGCUGUUCCCUGAUGGGUCACCGCUUUGCGCCUCAAUUUACUUAGUGAAAUGGGAAGAGGAAAUGCCCUGGAGCAGGUCAGAAUGAGAUUAAAAAGGGUUAGGGAGCCUCACCAGGAAGCAGGGAGAGUUCAGGAACAGGGUGUCAGCUCAGAGGGCAGCAGGUGCCGGGGCCCUGGAAUAGGAGGGGCAUGGUGGGGGGCACCCUUGGCCUUGAGGGGCACUUGUCCAGCGGGCAAGCCAGGCAGGGCUAUGGCGUCAGCUCCUGUGGGCACUCAGACCCUGCCAGCAGGGGCAACUCGUGUUUCACUUUCUGCUGUGUCAUGGGGUGGGAGGUGGCAGAGGGGCCCUGCUGGCCAGCUGGGGCUGGUUCAGAGCCAGCAGACAGCUGCGGACCCAGCUGCCAGAGCCCCACCCCAGCCCUGCAGCCUGCCAGGAUGGGAGCUGAGCCCCAGGGCGCCUCUUUAUACCUCCCACUGCAAGCCCAGUGAAAGGACCCCUAGUUCUGGAGCUGGAGGGGACACUCCCAAAACAAACAUUUCAGCCACAUGGGCUUGAAAUCUAAAGAACUGUGGCUUGAUUCUGGGUCAGAUGCCCUGGCUGGACACUGGCUUCCUGCUUGCUUGUGCUGGACAGAUUCUAUUGAAGGCCUACUGUGUGCUGUGUACUGGGCCAGGUGCGGGAGUCACAGUGGGAGGGUGAUGUAGGCCCUGCCCUCACAGGGGCCCCACUGGAAUCAGGGAAGAGACAAAAGAGCGGACAAAGGGAUAAACAAUCCCUUCUUAGGGUGAAAAUUCCAUGCUAAUGGCUGAGUUCAGGACUGGGGUCACAGUGUCCUGGAGCUGUCAGCAGGUUAAGAGCAUCACUCCAGGCACCAGAUCCUUUGUUUAAAUCUAGACUCUUCCAUGGACUGGUUAUGCAACCUCUCGCAGGAGACUUCUCUUCUGCCUCAGUUUCCUCAUCUGUACAUAUUAGAACAACAGGGUCUGCACAGAGGUUUAGGGAGAAUAAAAUAAAUGAGCACUGGUAAAGAACUGAGAACGGUGCCUGGCCGUGCUAUAUGUCUUGGUUGCUAUAUAAGAACAAUAAACGUGAGCUACUACUGUAAGACAAAAUGCACCCAUCAGCGCAAGCUGAGAGCAUCAGGAAUAUGGCUAAACUUGUCUGCCUUGUCAAGCAUCAUAGUCACAGCCAACACUCGGGUAUCCUUACUGAUGUCAGAGGAUGGGGAAACUGAGGCUUAGGCCUCUGAAGGGCUGUGUUGAGACACAAGCAGUUUGCAUCCAGGUUCUGGGCCACUUUUCAAGUAAAGGGUCCAUACUCGUUUAAAGCCAUGCAACUUGUCAUCUUGAAUUUCUGAGUACUUUGGAACAAAGGAGCCUCACAUUCCAAUCCUGCCUUGACAUUACUUGACAUAUCUGAAGCUGUCACUCUUUAAUUACCACCAUCAGUAGGCCACACGGCUGGGUGCAGAGUAGUUUUCCAAUUUAUCAACAUACAAGCCAUGAUCAAUCCAUAAGGUGAAUGCUUCAUUUUUUAAAACAUGGCAGCAUUACUGUGAAAGCCACACUGCCAUUAAGCCCCCUCAAACCACCCCCUUCUUUUCAAACAUACUUAAUCCUAUUUUCUGGCUGCUUCCUGAAGGAGUUGUUGGAAGUCUUCUCUUUCUGUCUUUAGUUGUGCUGUUGUGCCAAUCUCAGUGUUCUGCAUCAAUUCAAACUGUCUAACUCUCGCGAUCAUUUUGAUUUGGGGGAGAUCUAGAAGUGCCAGAUGCAGUGUCCGAGGUGAGUGAGGACACACCAUACUGUUUUUAGGAGCUUGCGUGUCCAUUGGGUGGCCUGUGGUACCAGUAUUCAUUGUACUGUCAAAGACACUCAUGACAGAGGACCUCCAGAACUGCUUCAGAAAGUAGCCAGAAUGAUGGAGUAAGUCUGUUCAAAUGGACAGGAAGUCUUCUAAUGGAGACUCACAGCAUUGUGUCUCUUACGGUAAUGCAUUUUUUAAAAAUUUAAACAUUCAAGCUGGAUGUGGUGAGGUAUACCUGUGAUCCCAGCACUCAAAAGGCUGAGGGAGGAUGACCCCAGCAAAAGUUUGAGGGAAGCCUGGGCCACCUAGUCCAAGUCAGCCUGUGCUACAAAGCUAGGUCUCAAAACAGACUGGUAUGCACUCUGUGUGCUUGGGGGUGGUGUGUGUGCUUAGGGGUUUAUGCACUCUGUGUGCUGAGGGGUGGAAUGAAGACUGUGCUCACACCGCCCACAAGGACUCAGAGUGCAUACCACCCUCAGCUCACACAGCGCCCCUGUAGGCACGUGAUGUGCAUGCCAACCCUAAGCAUACAUACCAUCCCUUAACUCACAGUUCAUACCACCCCUCAGCACACAGAGUGCAUGGCAUCCCUAGACACACACACCACCGCUCAGCAUUGAAUGCAAUCUACCCCUCAGCACACAGAGUUUAUACCCUCUACACACACACCACCUGUAAGGAUACAGAAUGCGUCUCAUCCCUCAGCACUCAGAGUGCAUACCACUGCCCGGCACACAGAGUGCAUAACACCUAAUGGUACAGGGAGUGCGGAACCCCAGAGUCACACAGAGUGCUUCCCUGCCCUCAGCACACACGCCACCCCAAGGCACACAAUGUGCAUUCCACACUUCAGAACAUAGAUUGCAUACCUCCUGUUAGCACACACACCACCAGCAGGCACACAGUGUACCUCCCCUAGGCACAGAGAGUGCAUGCCACACAGAGUACAUACCAACCUCCAGCAUACACACUACCCCUCACUCACUCAGAGUAUCACCCCUAGUCACUCAGUGCAUGCCACCGCUCUGCACACCCAGCACCCGUAAGCACACAGUGGACCCACAGCAGAUACCACCACUAGACACAUGUACACUAAUGUGUGUGGGGUGGCUCUGGGUGGGAUACGAGUGUACAGGAGGCAACUACUUCGCACUCUGGGAGGCUGAGGCAGAAGGAUCACAAGUUUGAGGCCACUCUGAGCAGCUUAGCAACUUAGACUCUGUAUCAAAAUGAAAAAUGGAGGACUGGGGAUUUAGCUCAGAGUAAAGGCCCUGGAUUCAAUCAUCAGUGCCUCAGAAAGAAAAAGGCAACUAAUACUUUUAUUCUGAUAAAAGAGAGGGGUAUUUAUGAGGCAGCUAGGAGUCGGCUACAUAUCUAGCAUGAGCCUUCAGAAUGACCAAUUUACAGAAAUGUAAUAGGUAAUUAUUUUUCUUAACACCACGUUCUGCCAUUGUAUUCUCUAUUUUGAGUUUGAUAUGCUCAAAAAUAUAAUAGUUUGCUGCUUGCUAACAAUGGGCUUCUUUCAGGUGCAUCCUCCACAGGAGGCACUACCUUAGGCACUCACCUGUCCAGACCUCAUGAGGUGGCCUUCUAUCCCCAGAGCUACCGCUGCGUGCACCAGGAUGACUGGUGUAGCUGAUCAGUGUUGGGGCCCAGUGUGCCACAUGAUUCAUUCUGGGUGGCCCCUUCCCUUGGCCCAUGCCUGCACAGGCUACCUGGUUACCCUGACAGGCAGUCACAGACUGCAAUGAGCCAGGAAUCUGCUCCUUUCUGAGACUGUCAGAACAGGAGCUCAGUGUCACUAGGAAGAGGCAGGGGCUUGGCGGGGGCAACUGUCUCGCCCAGAUGGGGGAAUCGAGGCAGGUGAGGACAUAGUGAUCUGGCUCCUUUCUGGAGUGGGUCUCAGAGCUCACUGUGUGAGGGGCCCUGGAUGGCAAGAGGAAAUGAAUGACCUGUGCUGGGAUUAUAGGUGUGCGCUUCACACCUAACUAAGCAGUGGUUUUUGUUUUGUUUUGUUUUUGUUGCUUUUUUUGAGGCAGGGUCUCACUAUGUAGUGCAGGCUAGCACUGAACUCGCUUAUGUAGUCCAGGCUGGUCUUGAACUCAAGGCUGUUUUCCUAUCUCAGCCUCUGGAGUGCUGAGGUACUAUGGGCAUGCACCACCAUGCCCAACAAAGUAGGGGUUUUUAAAAUGCCACAAUCCAGCAUUUCCCUAAAUCAAAGGGAAGGUGCAGUGAGUGGCCACCUGUGCCCUACAAGGGCUGCCUGCCCUCCUCCCCCACAGUUGGGACUGCUACCAACUUUUUCAUCUCAGGAAGCGUAUAGGGUUGGAUGUGUAUGGAGAGGCCCUCUGGUGGGCCCAGGUUUGCUCUAGCCAUGGGAAGCUGGGAGAGGCCCAGAAGGGUUCUUCAGAGAGCCAGCCCACACCUUGAUUUGGGACUUCUGCCUUCCAUAACUGAGAACAAAUAUGUGUUAUUUUAAGCCACAAGUUUGUGGUAAUUUGUUGGUAGCCUUGGGAAACCAAUACAGGUGUAGACAGACAGACUGGCAUUGGUCAAACAAGCAAACAGCUGUGAACCUGCUGUGUGACAAGAGAGGUUUAGGGCACUGUGAUGGGGAAGGGUUCCCUGAGAUUGAGGUCAGAGAAGGUGCUGACUAAGGGAGUGGAGGGAGGCGUUUCAGCCCAAAGUGAUAGCAUGAGCAAAGGUCCUGAGAUGAGUAGUUCACUCUCUAAAAGUACUCUCCAAUGAGUAGUCUUGGCCACAGAGUUCUUUUCAGAACCAAGAAACCUGACAGGUGGCCCUGCUCAUGACAGUGGCCUCGAUUUGGUGCCUGUGGUUUCCACUCCACCCGUUUCACAUAUUUAUGUUACCAGCCUGGCCCCUGAAGGGAAUUCACUCGCCAGGCCCUGACCUGUGGAUCGAGUGCUCAUAGCAGCCGCCGACAGCAUCCUCACCCCCCACCCAGUCUGGUGGAGCUGGUGCCUGGUUGCUCUGGUGGGCUAUGGCCGGUGUUUGCCAUCCCCAACCAACAAAGGUGCUGAGAAUUUACUGCAGCCUGUUAUCGCCUUGGAAGAGCUCCAUGAGGCUUGGUUGCAGAGCUGGCCAACUUGCAAGACCCCCGACAGGAUGGCAGCAGCCAGGAAGGAAGAUAGCUCUGGAGGUUGGUCUUGGGGCAGGGCCGUCUUCUGGGGAGGGGCUCAGGAGAACCAGAGUUUUUCUUCAAGAGGCCAAGUUGUACAGAAACAAGCCUCUGUGCUUGUUUUUCCAUCAAUAAAUGCAGAGAAAUCACUCUCAUCAGCUCCCCCUCUGAAAAACUGAGUCCAUAACUAUGCUUCCUCAGUGAGAACUGCAGUUGUGAGAAUUACAGAUUGUUUGCUUUCAUUCAGCAAUCAUAUUUUUGAGCAACUAGUAGGUUCUAGAUCCCAUUCUAGAUGCAAGAGGACACUAGAAGGAGCACAGCCAGACAAAUUUAUAUGCACUUGUGGAAUUGAUGUUCUAGAAUGGGGCUCUGCAGACUGGGGCUCACCUGCCAGAUCUGGUUUACUGCCUGGUUUUGCACAGACCGUGAAAUGAUCUCUCUCUCUCUCUGUCUUUCAGUGCAGAGCCACAUGAAUGGCAGGUAAGUAUUCUACCACUGAUCUGCACUUCCAGUUCCGGAUCUGUAUUUUUAAAUAGAUGAAAGAAGUCCAAGUAGCCCAAAGAAUAACAGAAUUUCAUGACACAUGCAAACUACACGAGACACAAAUUUCAGUGUUCUGAAUAAGCAUUUAUGUAAGAGCCACGCCUACUGGUUCAUGUAUUAUCUGUGAUUACUUUUGCAAUAUAUUGGCAGAGUUGCUGGUGACUCUUUAUAAGGCCUGAAAAGCUGAUAAAGUUUGUAUUCAGCCUCUUUGCAGAAAAAGUUUUUCCAUCCUGAUUGUAGUGUCAUGGGGUUCCAAAUGUGGUUUCUGUCGGUGUCACCUGGAUGUGUGUUUCUAAUACACAUCCUGACAUUCAAGCCCAAACUCACACUAUAAGAAGCCACCUAGGUGAUUCCUGUGCAUGUGAGUUCCAGCGAGAAAUGUGCUGCCAUCAAGUGCUGUGUGCAGCUCGCUCAGCACAUGCUUGGCACUUAGUAAGAGCUCAGUGACUAUUAGCUAUCAGGGCGAGUGGUAUAAAGGCCCAGGAAAGCAGCCCGGGUCCUAAUCCCCAGAACCUGCACAUUCCUUUAUGUGGAAAAGGGGCUUUGCAGGUGUGAUUGCAUUAAUGACCUGGAGGCCAAGGGUGUCACUCAGGUGGGCCCAUUGAUGUGAUCACAGGGAUUCUUACACCAGGAGGCACAGGGAAGAAGAUGUGGAAGUGGAAGCACAGACUGGGGCUUCAUGCCCUGCACACGAGGAGCAGCUACCACACGAGCAAUGCUGUGUGGCAGCCUCCAGAGUUAGGAAAAGACCAGGGAACCAUGGCUCCCUUGGAGCCUCCAGGAGGAAUGUAGCCCUGGACACCUUGACUGUCAGUUUUUGACCUCAGAACUGUGAGUAUUUUUAUGUUAUUUUAAAUCACUAAGUUUUUGGUAACUUGGUACAGUGGCACUAGGAAACCAGUCCUGCAUUAUUGGUGUGAGUAUAGUAGGUAUCUGUUGCAUGGUGGCUCUGCUAUCUGCUUAUUAAUUUGUUUCAGGCGAGUCACUGAUUCUCUCUGAACUUUAGCCUUUUGCUCUGUAAGAUGGAGAAAAUCGCUUUGCCUUCCUCGGGGCAUCGUGAAUCUUAACUGACCAUCCUGUGUAUAAAGUGGCUUCCUGAAAUGUCAGCUACCCUAACUGUUGUUGACGUUGAUUUAGCAGCGGUAGCAGCCAACAACAGGCUCACUGUGUCCUAGCUUAUGGAACAUCCCCGAAUUUGAACCUCUCUCCUACAAAGUGGGGAUCGUGUUGGUGGCUACCUCCCAAAGCAGCUGAAAUGUGACUCUGGGCCAGGCUGUGCUUAAGGAGAAUGCAAAUACGGUUGCCAGCCAUUUGGAGAAUGCAGCAAUCAAGUCUCGAAAGGGCGUUUGGGCUCCCCCAAGAGACUCUGAUUCAAGCCCUCCAUGUCAGUUCUCAGCCUCAGCCUGGCUGGUCAGGGUGGAGAUAAUUCCUCUCCCUCUGUGCCCUUCCUCUUCCCCAGAGUGGAACACCUGGACCCCCCUGCCUCUGGUGGAGCCUGCUGCAGAUCCUGUCAGAGCUUCUGCCUUCGGAGGUCCAGGAGUAUGUCUCCCUGGGGAGAGGAAGGAACAGCUGGACUGGUCCAGGUCUGGGUGACCCAGGGACCAUUUGGAUUGAGGCUCUACCUCCUCUGGGCCCAGGGCAGAGUCAGCACCCUCAGGUGAGGCCUGGGACUCCACAGUCCAGGUUGAGCUUUGCUGGCUUUGCUGCAGUAGCACCUGGGCUGGGGAGUGGGAUGGAAGGGCAGCUUGAAUGGUGGGGUCCUCCAGGACCAGUACUGCGGGACCCAAUAUGUGGAAAAUAUGUGCUGGACUCAAGCAUGAAUAAACAAUCACACCCAUGGAAGGCACCCUACAUAAUUAAGGAGGAGCUGUUAGUGGAGCCUCUUCUGUGCUCCAGGAAGUGGCCUUUGAACUCUGAAGAAAAGAGGUGGCAUUUCCUGAAUGCCAGGUAUGAUGUUAGAGCUGAACUGUGCUCACUUGAGCCUCUCAUUUAGCCAGGCUUGGAGAGGUUAAAUAGCACACAAGAACUGGGCCUGCAGCUCAGCAGUACAGCAUUUGCCUCGCAUGAAGGAAGCCCUGGGUUCCAUCCCCAGCACCUCAAGAAAAAAAAUUAGUAAAGGCCAAUGUCCAGGGUUGCUUACCAGGAAGCAAGUUUAGCGUGGGAGGGUGGAUGCAUGCCUUGGCAUGCUUUAAGGAAGGGGGCUGUGUAAAGCUUUUGCUUUUCCUUGUUGGUUUUGCUUUUUCCCCAGCAUGACUGAGCAGGAAGUGUUGCUCUAGUGGAAUUUGAGAAGUUCAUGGAAGACAGUAUGUGAGUUGAGAAAAUCCAGGAAUCAAAAUGACCUUGAACUUACCAGGCAGAUACUCAUAUCCUACCAAGUGGCCAACUGCUAGGUUGAUGAAAAGCCCUGGCUCACCCAGGACUGUUUGUUUUAACACUGGAAUUCCCAUGCCCCAGGAAACACCUUAGUCCUGAGCAAGUGGGGACGGUUGGCCACCUGCCCCAGCCACUUUGCGGCCCCUGCACUUAGACCAUGGUUGAGGGAGGGAUGGUGGCAGGAUUCACACACACGUUUUGUAAAAGGAGGGCGAGGUUUCCAGAGGUGUCUGCCCACACUGGAAUCUUGGGUGGAGAAGUUUCCACCAGGGCCCACUCAUCCCAGCCAUCUGCCUGCUACCGGCUACUGCCCAGUUCUUGGAGGUGUCAGGAAGCAGGCGGCCCAGAUUCUUGUCACCUGCCUCCCUCCCCUCCCCCUCCUGCCACACACAUGCCUUUCUCUGGGACCCCUCCCACCAGCAAAGCUGACAUCAUCUUGGGGAGAUGGGUGCUCAGAUGUGUGUGAGGUAGGACCCAGGCUGUCAGGAGAGCUGGAGUGGGUCAGGCUCCUGCUGGAGGGGUCUUCUCACCUCUGUCAUCUCUGGUGGGGAAGGGUGAGUGCCAGAGGCGUCCUCUGACUGUCCAUCUGUCUCUUUGUCCAAAAAGCAUCAUUCGUCCCUGAGCGGCUCUCCUGAAAAUAAGAGAAUGAACAUGUAACAUCUGCGUGAACUUGGGCCGGGGAUUUAGCUCAGAGGCAUAAGUGCCUGCCUUGCAAUCGUGCAGUCGUGAGUUUGAUUCCCAGUUCCACCACCACCACCAACAAAAGCAUCUGAGUGAACUGCUUGUCCCCAAGGGCAGGCUUGGAUAGGCAGGUAGUGAACAGCCUCAGACACUGAGCUGGCUGCUAGGGAUUUGGGGAACCGGCACCCCUGGGACUGGGUAGAGUGGCAGUUCAUAGACCUGCUCUGGGGUGUGGACAGCUGUAGGACAAGGGUCAGAUCUUACUCCUCCCCACCCUGUCUUUCCCACUUGUCACAUCCCGUGACAUAUUUAGGCUCAGCAGACCCUUCUUGGAUGUGUAGAUCCGUUCUCUCUGCAUCUCAUUUCCUCAGCUACAGGAUAAAUGUGCCCACCAGCCCGGCCCAUUGUCAGUCUGCGGCCUCUGGGCGCCUAGAGUGGCUUGAAGCCCUCAUCACCCCCAGGGCUUCCCAUCCCCGGCUCCCUGUUGGCUUAGACCUCAGCAGUGAGGGUCUCUGAUCCUGAGACACCUCAAUCCAGUUCUUCUGCCCCUGUCACCAUUCACACUUGAUACUUCUGCUCAGACUGACUCCAAGUCCUUCCCUAGUCCCCCUCCCCAGGAAUGGACACCCACCUGGUCACUCUGUCCAAGCACCUUGUUCUGUCCUUUUCUUUUUCAUCUGGCAUUGGGGAUUGAACCCAGGUCCUUUUGCAUUGAGCUGCACCCUCUACCCUUUUCAUUUUUUUGAGAUUGGAUCUCACUAAGUUGAUAAAUUGCCCAGGCUGGGUUCAAACUUGCAGUUCCCCGCCUCAGGCUCCUAGAGUGCCAGGACUACAGCCAUACACUGGAAUACCCAGCAUGCACCCUGGUUUUCCCCUCAUAGGAUUAUUACCUUAUCUAUUGCCUGCUUUUUCAUUUUCUUUGGGGCUGGGCUACAUCUGACUUCUUCCCACUGUAACCCCAUCUGGCACAGAGUGGUUAUCCAUAAAUUCCUAUUGAAUGAAUACAUGACCAAGGAGGGCAUUACUGGCCCUGCCUUCCCUCCCAAACCCUGCAUGUCAUGUCUCUACUUUUCUGAUGUACUGAGGGCUUCUGAGAUGCCAGACUUGGUGCUAAGCCUUCCAUGGUGCUGUAUGUCACUGAUGUGGCCACUGAGGUACAGAGAGGUGAGGCAAAGACCUCAGGGCACACAGCACCCAGUGGAGAGCCAGGAGUCCACCGAAGUUGCUCCAGCUAGAAGCUCAGGGCCCCUGGCCCCUGUCCUCUCAGAAGCAGAACUUAGAGAAUUCUGAGGGACCCGAUGCCCCAGCUGGACAGAGGCCCGGCUCAGACCAACCUGUGUUGCAGGCCCAGGGUGUGUUUCCCUGUUGCUUGCUCAGCCUGGGCUGUGGUUUCCGCUUGUUUUCUGUAACCUGAGCUUCCCUAGCGCCUGGCACCAGGAUCCGUGACUUGGUGGCCUCAGCUCAGGUUCCUGAUUUCCUUGGAUGAUUUUAGAUGCUUUUACUGGUAGAAAAAUCCCAGCCAAGAGACGGUGAGUAGAACACGCCCCUUCCUUAUAAGCUGGUAGCAAAAGGGCACUAAUUAUUAGCAGUGCCCUCAGGGAUGCCCCAGUUAUGAGGGAAGGGUCUGCUGUUGUUCAUUUCACCCCGGCAACCACCCUGCAGGGUGACACCUGCCAUCCCCACCGCAUGGUGGAGAAACCUAAGGCGCAGAGAAGUUGAGCGAUUUGCCCAGGAUCACACAGCCGGGGGAGUAACAACAGAAUCUGCACCUGCAUCUGCUCCUCCUCCCGGAUUCCUUCCUGGCUCUAGACUGCAGACAGGACCCAGGGCCCAGAGUAGGAGAAACUCCGUCCUUGCCCACAGGGAGCUCCAAACUGCCAGAAAGAGCCAAGAAAGAGUGCCGAUGACCAUCAAAGCCAGCCCACCAGCCUGAGACCAUCUGUAUUUUUAGCUGGAAAGUGAAUCAGCCUGAUGAUUCACAGGCCUGGCCAGGCUUGCUGGGCAGCCCCAGGCCAAGAAUGACAGGGCAGGGGUCAGCUAAAUGGGGACAGGAAGACUCAGAGGGGAUCAAGGGCUGCCCAGGCAGGCUACUGGGUCCUGUUGUCCUGUGCAGGAUAUGAACUGGACUGCGUACUUUCUCACUUGCUCAGGAGAUGGGGUUUGAAUGACUGCUGGCAGACAGCUUGUGUCAACAGAAUUAGAAAGUGAUAUAAGCAACUCUGCCCCACAGACAGCUGAUCUGGGCUGGGCACCCUGCUAGGUACUGGAGGCACCGAAGCAGAGAAUUGAUCUUCUAAGACAGGCAUUGCCAUGCCUUUCUCCAGGAAGGUGGUAAGGUUUUGAUUUUUGUUUUGUUUUUAACAGUCCUGGGGAUUGAAUCCCACAGCCUUUUCUCUGAGCUACAUCCCAGCCCUUUUAUUUUUAAGACAGGGUCUCAAACUUAAGAUCCUCCUGCCUCAGCCUUGGAGUAGCUGGGAUUAUAGUAAAUAUUUCAUGUUUUGUGGUCUAUAGACUCUCCACUGGAGAAAAGCAGCCAUGCUGGACUGUGUUCUUAUAAAAACUUUAUUUACAAACCAGAUUUGGCCUGGGAGUUUUAACUUUCUGCCCCAGUUCUAAAAAAUGCCUUUGCCCACACCAUGGUCCCUCGUUCACUGUAGGGCGUGAGGGAUGCAGAUGACAGGUGGUGGGCUGAAGCUGUCAGUAGAAGAUGCUCUAAUGCACUAGUGUUAAUACACAGGGUUCAAGUCGCCUCUCAAGUGCUCCUUCCACAUGGGUGCUCAUGGGCACAUUGGACUGGGACCUCGUAGGGCAGUGACAUCCAGCCUAGUGCCUGGGUGCCAUAGGAGAUGCAGUGGGAACUCGCCAGGCCGAGGGAACUCACCAGGUCGUACCCACCCCUAUGUCUCUCUCUUCACCUUAGUUAGAAACUGGCACACCGGGAGGCCACCAUAGGAGGAACUGCAAGUGGAAACCUACCCUGGGCAACUUAGCAAUUUAGCAACACCCUGUCUCAAAUGAAAAAUUAAUAGAGCAGGGAUGUAGUUCAGUGCAGAGGCCCUGGGUUCAAUCCACAGUACUAAAAAAAAAAAAAAAAAAACCAGUGUGUGUGUGGGGUGGGUUAGAGGGAACCUUAUGACAGACUAGGACCCACUCUGGUCUCCCUGUUUAUCGUCCAGGAAGCGAGGUACCCCUUCGUGUCCUCCUGAGCCCCGGUUCCCAUGAGAGUCUCAGAGAGGCCGAGGGCUAUGGGAAGGGCUCCAUGGGGUCCCAGCUGGCUGUGAGCACCCAGCGCUGAGCCCCAGCUUCCUCCCCCGUAGAACAGGUGGGGAUGGGCACACAGCUCUCCCGGAGGUUACAGGGCAGCUCCAGGGAGCAUCUGUGCAGGCUCAACCUCUAAAAUGCAGGAAGCACUGCCUCAGCCUCUGGGAGCGGAGCGAGGAGUGACCGUCACCUUUACAAGUGAGUUAACAGGGAUCAUCCUAAGACUGACUUGCUUGAGGUCACAGCCAGCGUAAGCAGUGAGGUUCACACCACUGCGUCUCCGCUGAUCUUGGGCACCCUCUGAACUAGCGCCUUGGCGGCUGCCCAGCCUCAGACUUCCUUCCGGCCGGGUUCUCCAGCAGACAGACAGGCUUCUCAUCCUCACACUCCAACAGCCAGAAGCAAGGCUGAGGAAACUGGGGGGGUCGAGGCAGGUUGCUUGGUAAAGCCAUCACAUAGCAAUGCUACCACCAAAUGUUCCCCAAGCCUAGUGUCUGGGGGAUGGUAGAAUUGUUCCCCACAGACCUGGGUUCAAAUCCAGUGUUGAAGAUCAACUGACUGUGACCUCAGACAGGAAAUCUGUCUUCUCAUCCACAUAAUAGGAAUAGGAAAUGACUCACACAUAUACAGAGAGUUGAUUCAUGUUGACUAUGGCAGCUACAUUGUACAAAGCCACCGUGAACACUGAUUUAGCAAAUUCUCAGCCAUCACUCCUGUGAGAAGCACAGCUGGGGUCCAACUUGGCAGAGUUCAGUUCAGGAUUCUUCCACUUUAUAGGGCUCAGGACCAUAUGCAUCCCGUCAAAGUCAUCCUCCAGAUUUCACACGUGGAUCUUCCCAGUUCAAGGCACAAGGGUACACUCCUCUCUCCAUGCAAGCCAAGGCAGCUCAGCUCCCUGCCACCACAGGGUCACAGGGGACAGCUGACACUCUACAACUUGCUUCCACCUCCUGCCCCACCUCCUACCCUCUCCCAGGGCCACCUCCUGUGCUGUAGUCUACCUCAGUGCUUCCCAUGCUGUCCUUGGUCCAGCCCUGCCCUUGUGGCCUUGCCCGUUGGUAAGCACUGUCCUCUCCACUCCUGUCCUGUUCUCCCUUUUUUUUUCCUUCAUUGUUUAUUUCCUUCAUCUGUUUAUUUGAUGAUCACCUGGUCCAUGCCAUGUGUGGUGACCCACACCUCGGGCAGCCUUUGCCUCAAUUAAGUGAGGUACAGGUUCCUGCACCCACCAUUGUCUCCUCCCCAGUCGGCAGGAAACAACUGUCAUUCCUAUGAGUCACUGAAGGUGCUGAUCUCAGUCCUGGCUGCACGGGAGAGUCACCUGGGAGCUUGAAAACAGGCCCGUGUCCACCUUGGUAGCAGUCCAAGUCAAGCAGAACCUCUGGGAGCCGAACCACACAUUGGCUUUUUUUUUUUUUUUUUUUUUUUUUUGGUACUGGGGAUUGAAGUCACAACCUUGCACUUGCCAGGCAGGCGCUUAUGCUGCUGAGUUAAAUCCCCAGCCCUUACAUUGGCAUUUUUGAAAAGAUCCCUCCAGGGGCUGGGACUGUAGCUCAGUGGUACAGCACUUGCCCAAGAGUCAGUGAAGAGGGCUAUACCUGCCUGUGAAGGUAUAGCCUCCUGUCCCACUGUCCUGCUGUCCCUCAGCAUGACAGUUAUAUCCCCAGACUCGUAAAUUUUUUUGAAGCAGAGUCUUGAUAGAUUGCUAAAUUGUCCAGGCUGGGCUGAAACUUGCAAACCUCCUCCUCAGCCUCUCAGAGUGCUGGGAUUUCAGGCCUGCGCCACUGUGCUCGGCCCAUGAAUCCCUUUCUGGGUGGCUAUUUCCCCUCCACAUCCUCUGGAGUCACACAGACUCAUUUCCAACCAGCCUGUAGGGUCCUUUGCUCUGUGGCUUCUGCUAGGCCAGCCCCUUCCCUGCGCAGAGCCUCUGUCCUCUACAAAAUGGGGGGAUGUCUCCAUACAGUUACGGGGAUGCCCACCCAUUUCCCUUGUGCCCCUUUGUCCUGGCAAACAUGAAGGACGUGAGCUCCUAGAAGGAUGGAGGUGAGGUCCAGGGUGUCUCCCCAGCUGUCUUCUCCCCAAGUUGCAUCCCACACCCACGUGCCUUUUACACGAGGGACUGCAGGGACAGCUCUUCUCUCACACUUCAGUUUGCUCGUCUGUAAGAACAGAGUAAGACCCGUGACCAGGGUUUUUCUCCAUAGAAAUGCAAUCAUAUAGUACAUGACCUUUCAUAUCUGGCUUUUUUCCUAUCACAUAUUUUCAAGCUUCACCCUUGCUACACCGUGAAUGAGUGUUUCAUUCCUUUGAAGACAGAGUAAUAUUCCACCGCAUGCAUAGCCCACCACUGGUUUGCCUGGUUACCCGCAGCUGGUAUUUGGGGUGUUUCCACUGGGGGGCGCUAUGAAUAACGUGGCUACGAUGCUGCACACAGGGCUGUAGGUUUUAGUUCUCUUAGUCACAUCCCUGGGAGUGCUCGCUGAGUCCCAGGUAACUCUAAGGUUGAUUUUUUUUUCUUUUUUUGAUCACAGGGAUCAAAGCAGGGCUAGAAAGCACCCCACUACUGAGGCACACCCCACCUUUUCUUUAAUUAUUGAGGGUCUCCCCUAUGGCUUAUGGCCUUGCUUGAGGGCCUGAUUUUAGUUUGCCAGACCAUCUUCCCUGCUGGGUUCCCUGGUUUAAAAACCGUAAGUAAAUAAAAUGAAAGAAGGGAGGCAGGGAAGGAAGAAAGGAAGUACAGGGAAGGGAGGGGAGGGGGAGAGGAAGAAAAAGAAAGAUGGAGGGAAGGAAGGGGAAAGGAGGAGGAGAGGAAAGCUGUCAGGCGGCUGUGUUCCCAGUGAGAAAGCUGCUGGCUGUCUAACAGCCCCACAGCAGACCACAGUGCUGCCUGCCGCGGGGAGCUGGGCUUUAGACCAAGCAACCUGACUCCAGGGCCGGUGCCUGUGACCGCAGUCCACACAGCAGGGCCCGUCCUGAGCCGGGCAGCAGGGUGACAGCUGGCCCACUCUGCCUCUGGCUCGAGCGGACGAGAAGUCCUUCCCCACCCGAGGGGCAGAGGCGCAGGAGGGCACAGACUCGCAGGCCCUCCCCACCGUGCCCCUCGCCUCAGCUGGCCCCGACCUGGGUCCCUGCCCCCCAGUCUAUCGGGCAGAUCAGCCACCACAGCCCGGGAGGCUCUCACGGCCUCAGGGUGAGCUGAUUACCCAGAGGGCAGGCAGCACCCCUUCCCUGUGGCCUCCCAGGGGAGGUGUCCUCAGCUGAGAGCCUGGGGGAGAGGACAGCGGCUGCCCUGCCGCAGAGGGAGACAGCUCUGCCAGGGAGCUGCGUGUCAGCCACCUCCCUGGGCCCCACUAGGAGCCUUUUAAAACAGCUUUAUGGCAUGAAAGGCACUUUGCCUAUCAUUCAGUGCACUCCUUUAAAGUGCUCAGUCCUAAGGACUUUUGUGAAUUUACAGAGCUGUGUAGCCAUCACCACUAAUUUUAAGAGCACCCCCGCCCAUAGAGGUUUCCUCCCAAGGCCCAGUGGAUACCUGCAAACCCUCUGAGAGUACUGAACUCGAUCUAUGUACAGUGGUUUCCUUUGCACACACGUAGGAUAAAAUUUAACUGUUUGAAUUAGGCAUAAUAAAAAAAAACUAGUGAAAACUAAUAGUAAUUGGAACACAAAAUAAUGUACUGUAAUAAAAGUUAUGUGAAUGUGAUCUUUUUCUUUCUCUCAAAACCCCUUACUGUUCUUUCAUACCUGCUCAGUUAAAGGAAGGGCUUCCCAGCUGGCAUUUGAAUUGCCAGCACCACUACCAUCCUGCAUUUCGGGGCCACCUGAACACAAGCCCUGUGACACUGCUGAUCUGAUACCAAGGCCCCUACCAAGGGACCAACAGACCCGGGCUGUCUCCCUCAGAGCCUCGAAGCCCAACCGCGGCCCUGGGUCUCGUCUAGGGCUUCAGGGUAGCCUUUGCAUUUGUGCCUGGCUCCCGGCAUCCCUCCUCCACUGCCUGUGCCCUGCCUGGCAGCCAGCAUGAAGAGCAGCUGGGACAAAGGUCCCGGUGCUGUGUUCCCCAGUGUGGACGCCAGCAGAAGGGUGCGUGUCUGUCCACCACAGCUGCAGCGCACUCCACUCUUCCUGCUUGGCCUAGGCUCUGUGACUGUGUGACCCGUGCCAGAGGAAAUGCCAUUGCAAAAGGGGUCUCCUGGUGCCUAAGCAAGAGACCUGACACUACCUCUGGAGCUUGCCACUGGAGACUGAGAAUAACUGUAAAGAGCCUUUAGAUGACAGAGAUGUGGCCUCUUCCCAGAGCGCCUCCCAGUGCAACUCAGUCAGAAGCCUUGGUUCAACUCCCCACCCUGCUUUCUGCUUGCUGGGUGCUGUGGUUAUUGGUCUGUGCCUCGGUUUCCCCUUCUGCAAAAUGGGCUGUGACCCAUCCCGCAGUGUUGGCCCUGGUCAGAGGGAGUGCUGCUGACUGAGAAGCCACUCUGAAGCACCUGCCUUUAUCACAGAGUGACUCGAGCAGUACCUGUUAGUUUGGUAUCUCUCAACCUCCUGGUGCUAGGGACAACUCCACGCUCAGCUUUGUAACCCCAUCCCUGGAACUUCUGCAUGCAGUGUCAAAGGAAUGUGUGCGAUGGCCCCCCUUUCUUUAGGUCUGGAAAGGGGGCAUCUUGAGUCUGGGGGCUCAGGAGGGAGACAGGACACUUGUCUUCCUGGUGAAAUCCAUGAUGGCUUACAAGGCAAGGUGGGAGUUUGUUUUGCUUUGUUUUCUUGCAUUGUGUUUUUUAUUUUGUUUGGCAGAAUUGGGGAUUGAAUCCCAGGCUUUUGCACUGAGCUGCAGCUCCAGCCCUUUUUAAAUUUUUGAGACAAGAUCUUGCUAAGUCUAAGUUGCCCCAGCUGAGCCUGAACUUGGUACCCACCUGCCUUUGCCUCCCAGAAUGCUGAGAUUACAGGUGUGCACCACUAGGUCUGGCUGUAAACUGUUAUUGUUGUUUGUUUUUCUUUUAUAGUUUUUUUAUUCACCAUAGAAAAUGUGGGAGGAAAAAAGUUUAAGCAAUCCCUCAGAGUGAUCUCACCAGGUAGCGCCAAAGUUUCCAUCUUCGGUGAGCACUGCCCAUCCCUCUGACGCAGUCUAUUGUAAGUGACCGUGGAGACAGCAUGUGGGGAUGCACCGGCUUCCAGGGAACCGGUGAUGAAGUCUGGCAAACACAGCCUCCGUGGAAGCAGCUGGAAGCCACAGUGUCCUCCACCCUGGGCCUCCUGGCCGCCACGGCAGCCAAGCCCAGCUGAUGGGCUGGAAAGAAUGACUCCCCACUGGCCUGCCUCGGAGGUCAGGGUGACCGUGAGCCAGGCCCCAUGCCACGCCACACCCAGCUGGCCAGCAGCUCCUGGGCCUCAGGGGGCCCAUUUCUGCAGCUGCCAGUGGGUCAGGGGCCUGGAGCCCUUCUUGCCCAGGCAGUGAACUCUGGGCACUGGCCACCAUGGAGCAGACUGCCGGUGAGAGCUAGUGAAGCCUCAGGGCCAGGUCUGCAUCAGUCCUUCCCCGCUCCUGUUCACGUGGGCCUCUGCCUUGCUCACACGUGACACGUUCCUUCAUCUUCCUGGCAGGACCCUGUGGGACGAGGGACUGGGAGCUGUUUUAUAUACACCCCACCACGCACACACACCCUGUGCCUCUAAGGCAGCCCAGGGCUCAGGAGGCCUGAGCUGGGAGCCCAGCACUACUUACCACCUCUGCACCACCGCUCUCUGAGGCCUUGUGCAGACAACAUGAUGGAGGUACACCUGGGCGGGGCCUGCUGUGCUGGUGACUCUGUCUCUCCCAGCUUCCAGCAGCCGUUCAUUCGUCCUUCUCAGUGUCCCAUGGAUCAGGCUUUGGAUGGGUGGAGAGAGCCCUGAGCUGUCUGCAGAGGACGAGGGAUUGGGGGGAGACAGAAGGGCGUCUCCGCCAGCCUCAGCUCCUUCCCUACACUGGCCUGUACCAAUGCAGGAUGGUGGGACAGGGUGUCCAGGAGCCCAAGAAAUGGGACAGAAAGCUCUGGGUCAAAUGAGUCACCCUCCGGAGGGCCCAGAUGCCUCUUAGGGAACAAGUCUCCAGGAAGAGCCAGGAGGAGGCAAGGGCAGAGAGCAGAGGCUCCCGGGGACCUGUUCCAUGCGGUCGUUGUGGCCCAAAAGGCAGCCUGCUGGGUAUGUGGGAGCCUACUGGGCCACCCCUGGGCUCUGCACAGUGUAUGGGCCUUCCAUCCUGGGAGCAUCCUAGACUCCUCCCUCCCUUUUAGGUAUGAGGAGUGUGGCCAAGGGGCACAGAAAGAUAUGCAGCUAAAGGAUCUAGCUUUAGAGACAUGAUAGAUUCACCUCCCACCCAGAGGCUUAUCCUGCUAGGGAAGAAAGUGCACAGAAGGUUAGAGAGUGUUACACAAGCAAAUUCUACAAAGUUCGUCUAGGGAGAGCAGGGAAGGUGUUUCAGGAAGAGGGACAGCCUGUGCAAAGGUCCUGGGGUAUGAAAGGGCCCAUGAUGCAGACCCCACAAAUGACUCAAAGUCUAUUGAGCUGCUGUUGCUUCCCAGAUGCAAUGAGGCUGGGGUUAGCCAAGAGUGUGUGGGCUGCCCAACUGUCUGCUGUCCUGGCCUUGUCUUGAUUUCUUUAGCGAGUGUCUCCCCGCCUUCCUUAUCUCUGAAAGUAAAGAAGAGGAAAAGGCAUGGUGUCUUAGGGCCUUCUGUGUUUGGAGUCCAACCCAGAGGGCAGCUCCUCCCUGUCUGGAGUGAAGAUCCUAUUGCUCAGAAGCUGUCCUCUUCGAACACACCUGUCCACAUAGUAAAUUCUGUUGAUCUGCUGCCUGUGUGUGUACCCCUCAGGGACAAGGACAGAGCCAGAACAUUCCAGCAACCCACCUCGGGAGCCAAGCGGGCUGGGUGAAGCUGCUCCCCUGUCCUCCUCCUUCCACCCACCAGUUCCUGAGAGCUGGGGUGGGGGGCGCAGAUGGGCACCACGGCCUGUGCCCUGCACCCUGUGGUGCCAAGGGUAAUGCCUGAAUCCCAGCCCAGUCACGUGACUCUGAGCCUGAGCCCCUCAGCCUCACUGCACCUUGGGCUCCUUUUCUAAGAACGCGGACAGUGCUCUGUCUCCUCCACCUGUUCUGAUUGUUAAACAGGGUUCUGUCUACCCAGUGGCUGCAGGGCCCACCCUGAAACUUCUGCCUCUGCAGAGAGCUCACCUGGGGUCCUCCGUGGUGGUACGAAGUCCACCACAGCCAACAUGAGCUAAUGCUGGGUAAGAAUGAGUGUCUCAGCUGGCCUGGGGGCUGGCACAGGACACCCAGAAUAAAAUCACACAGGCCUGGGCUGCAUAGCCAGCAGAGACACGUUUCACGGAUUUCCUACUUUUUUUUUUUCCGUGCUUUUGCACUGAGCUACACCCCCAGCCCCUUUUUCGAUUUUUAUUUUGAGACUGGAUCUUGCUAAAUCACUAAGCUCCCCUGGCUGGGCUUUAACUUGUGCUCCUCCUGCCUCAACCUCCCCGGGUACUGGGAUUACAGGUGUGCACCACCACACCUGGCAAGAGCCUUUCUUUCAUGUGUGACUGUUUCUGGAUUCUGAAUGCCUCCCUAAUGGCACUUCCGCUUAUUUAAUGACACUGAGAACCACAGGGAAGGAGGCAGGGAGCCCACACUUUGUGGAACUCGAGUCUUGUGGGCAGAGCUGGAGGGUAAGAAACACCUUUGGAUGAUUUUAGAAAGCUGUGGAUUCCAGCAGGAAAUGAAAUAAGGCACAUUAGAGCUUGCUUUCCACUGUGCUCUUACGAUGUGGAUUUCUGCAGGUUCCCCAGAAGUUAAUUCUACCUGUUAAGUGGGAUGGUGGAUUGGGCAGGGAGGCCAGUCUUGAGACAAAGGCCCUAAGCUAGGACACAGCCCUUAAUCCAGCUGGAUUGGGUUGGACUGACACUGAUGAAGCCAUUCUAUUAAAAGUUUGGUAUCUUCUAUUGACCCCUGCCAACUUUGAAUCGUGGAAGGCCUACAGAGAAAGCAGUCCAGGUAGAAGGAAUGGCACAUGCAAAGGUCCUGAGGCAAGAAAGGGCUUAGCACAUACUAGAACCAUGUAUAAAUAUGACAGUUACAGAUUGAAGUGAGGUAGAUGGUCACUCAACUGAGUUGGCAGGGGCCACCUCACAGUGAGCCUGCUGGGAUUUGAAACUUAAUCCUUAAUCCUGAGAGCUCAGGGAUGCUUUUCAAUAAAGGAAGGCUCCAGGGAAGGAGUACUGGAUAAAGCUGUAAACCACUGACUCUGUCCAGGGAGAUUACCAGAGAGCAGAGGACGUGGGUGGGGGAUUGGAGAGGUGGCCAGAGGCUGGCUUCCAGGCUCUGUUUCAUCCAUCUGAAGCAAAGGCAGACAAAGUUCUCAUGGUUUAUUCAGCAGGGAAUUUCUUCUCUCUCUGUGUCUCUCUCUUUUCCCCCUCUCUUUUUUCUUUUUGAAUUAUAAUGUUUAAGAAAAAUCAAGAUUGGAGGCUGGGGAUUUAGCUCAGUGGCAUAAGCGCCUGCCUUGCAAGUGUGUGGUCAUGAGUUCGAUCCCUGGUACUGAUAAAAAAAAAAUCAAGAUUGAAAGCAGGACAUGGUGGUACACACCUGUAAUUCUAGCUCUCAGGAAGCUGAGGCAGGAUCAUAAGCUUUAGGCCAGCCUGGGCUAUAUAUUAAGAACUUAUCUGAAAAAAACAGAACAAAACAUUUUUUGAGGGGAUGGAAAACAACAAAAACAAAAACAUCUCACUUUCCAACUUGCCUGAAGAACAGACUGUGGAAAAUUCUGGCAGCCCUGGACCCUCAUCCCCCAGGACAAGUGCCGAGUGGAGCAGUGGCCGCCCUUUCCCUGUGGUCCCCACCACUCCCUACUGUGUCCCACUGGCCCUCUUGAGUUCUUGGGCUCCAGUCUGGUCCCUGCAGUUUGUAGCUUCUGCUGGGAGUAAUAAGGAGCCAUGUUAGACAGGACAGAAAGUGGUGGCACUAGGAUGGACCCUGGGGACUUGAAGGGGACAAACUGGGCUUGUGACAUCAGAGCACAUCUCUGAGCUGAUGAGCCUUGAGCCCAGGCAGAGGGUGCUCACCUGCCUCCAGCCGGCUGGUCUCACGCUGGCUCUGUGUGGCUGUCUCCUUUCUAGGGGCAUCCCCCACCCCGCCCCAUCACAGCCUCCCCUUCCGAUGACCUCUCACCUGCAGGAACCCCGUUGGGUCUGGACUGGGUGGGACCAUAAUCAGCAGUAACUGAAGGCUCCCACCCCACCCUGGGGCACCCCUUGCUGCGAGCCUUCCUUCCUGGGCCUGUGUGUGGGUGGGCUGCCGGACUCCCCUUAGUCAUGACCCCUCCACCAGACUUCUUAGUGACUCAGCACCCUGUGGGGACGCGUCUGCGGAAAGUCAAAGCAACUGGGUUUUAUGAGGAGAGGUGUAAUUGGAGCAGGCACAGGGAGGAGCUGAGGGGCAGGGAGGCCCCAGCCCAGGUCUGACUGCUCAGCCGCUCCUGCGUCCUUGUCCCGCGGUGUUGAGAACACCAAAGCCCUGCACAAUUUCCUGACUUUUUCCACAGUCAAGACAUUAUUUUCAAAUCCUGACGUCGUGCCAAGGAGGGGGUCAGAUAAAGGUGAAUCACCCGUUCCCCAGCUCUCCUAGCCUGGAAGCCAGCUCCUUCCCCAGCCCCCGGCACAGUGCAGCGGACCCCACCUCUUGGGGACCCUGCCCCUCCAAAGGACCCUCCUGUUUCCAGGCCCCCCAAGCAGUCCUAGCCCCCCUUUUGCCCCACUCUGCAGAAUGGCCAGAGGCGGCUGGAUUCCCAGAGUCCAAGUGGCGUUUCCCCGGGAACACACACGCGUGCACACUUCGCGGCCAGGAGAAUUCCUGGACUUGGAGCAGCUUGUGAGUCAGCUGGGUGCUCGCUGGGUCUGGCGGAUGUGAGUUUGCUCAUGUUCGUCAGCUUUGAAAGUUUCGCAUCUUUAUCCAGAGAAAAUUUCAAAAAUGCACCGGAGAGAAGAUUGGCUGGUGCCUCCCGCACCCCAGCGCUCCGCUGGGUGGCAGUGGCCUUUGGUCACCUCGCUGGCCUUUUCCCGUCCGGGUGGCGGAUUCCAGCGCAGAUCCACUUCAUACCUAGAUCAUUUCCUAACAGUUAGAGCUCUAAAAUCAUUGUGACAAGGAGAGCGGUUCUGUGUACCUUCCGCUAAACGCCAUCUCUGUCACAUCUUCCAUCUCUGUGAUGUCAAACGCCGCUGACUGCAGCAUCAGAACCGGGAGCAGAGCUCGACAGCGCAUGCGUGCAGCAUCCUGCAUCAUUCUAUCACAUGUAACCAGCACAGUGAAGACCAGAACUGCCUGCUCUCCCAAAGACCCCCCCCCUGCAAUCACAUCUCUCUGCCCCCCCCAACAUCCCCAACCCCCUUGCAGACCCCUCUGCUGGUCCUCAUUUCUGUAAUGUCAUUUGAGAUUAGAGGAAUGGAGUCGCUCAGAGGUGCUUAUUAUGGACAGACCGUGCUUUGCAGUACCGUUCAUGGAGGGGCGUUGAGACUAUUUCCAGUUUGGGCUGCUAAGAAUAAACCUGCCACUGACUUCUA